UAAAAGAAUCUCUUUAUUAAUUGCUUUCAAGAGAUUUGGUCCACUUGUGUGAUCAUGAACUUCCAACCAGGGAGGAGAAAAGAGAAAACAAAGUCAGGAAGAUAAAACAACAGAAUGUAAAAAUACAGUACAAAAAGAGGCCUUGUUUUUUCCACUUAUCACAACCCCGGUUUCUUUAUCCACUGUUUUGAAAAACAUUUUGCAUAACCAAUCAUUUUUAUCUGACUGAAAUAAACAAAUGCAUUAGAAUUUUUCUGCAGCUGUGUAGGUGUGCAUUUGGUGCUGGGGAUCACCUGACAAAUACCAGUAAGGGGACAAAGCAUCAUGUGAAUACAAUUACACUGUAAUUUUAUUAGUCUGUAAAAACUAUGAAUGGUUGUGUGACUUUACUAAAACACGGAAGCCACCAUCAGAAAACAAAGAGAACCAUUACAUGUCACAAAUGUCAUUUUAACACAGAAUGCAUGAUUAUCAUGAGAAGCAGCUUCUUGCUCAGCCAGUUUGAGGAACCUGGUCAAAAUUCAAUUCAGGUCAAAAGUCAAGGUGUGCAAUGUAGAACAGAGAUUUAAUUUUUAUAAGAUUGUCCUCAUGUUAGAAGAUGCAGCACAAAGCUUAUAAAUCAUGAACAAGCAGGUGUUGUGAGGAGUGGAAAAACGUGUUGAAAAACAUGGAAAAAUAUAAAUGUCCAAAAAACUGUGCAGAGGGAUUUAAAAAUAUAAAUUGACUUUCACCCAGAAACUCAUGUUCAUCUGUGAUAUUACAUUUGUCUCCAUGGCUGCAUUUUAUUUAACUUCAGUGUCUCUCUAGUGAUGGAUUUGACUGGAACACAGUGUUCAUUGUGUAACCAUCAUGAGGGUCGGUGCUAAAGUGCACCGCGUUAGUUCAACAAGGCUGAUAUGAGCAGCUAUAACAGAAAUGUACAUGUUUGAGGUGGCUCUAAACCUGUCACUUCUUCUAUGUUUGAGUCAUGAUCCCACUGCUUUUAAGAGCACACCAACAAAACAUGCAGUACAGGCAUCAACUGUUUUCUUGUUUUUCUGUGUGGGUCAGUUACCUCAUUAACACCGGCUGUUCUACAACAGGAGCCUUGACUUAAAUGCUGUAUUUUGUCAGUUCAACCUUAAAAGCAGCAUUUCAUCAUUGUGGCUGUUGUUUUUAUAGAACACAAGCCAUGUUCACUAUUUUCAAUUUAAAGGAUAUCUAUGUAUUUUAUGUAGCUCUGUCUUUCAAUUAAAAGUUUCCUGCUUAAUGACGACUGAAAAAGAGCAUUUGAUUGUAUAGUUCCUAUAUCCCAACCAUUAAAAAAAUAUAAAUGAAAAAAGGGAACACUUUACUACUGACCACAGCAAAUUCAUCACAGCCAAAGGAAAAAAACAGCUUCACCAUCUCUUAUCUAAAUGACCUUAUAUGGGUGUCUAAGUAUUAUAAUAGGUAUCAGAUAUCAUAUACUGUAUAUAGUAAGCAGGAUUAUACAAUAAGGGUAUGUAUCAUCUUAUAGGUGUAGUAUAUUGAAUAAGGCGCUAUAUAGGAGUAUAUAAGCCUCUGUGUAUGCUUUGGUUUUCAGGUCUGUCCUUGUCUGGCGAAUCCAGUGCGGGCAGUAAACACUGAGCUCUGCAGCAAAGAUCUGCACUCAAACUUAGUAAAUGUAUAUUUCAAACUAUUGCUGUUCUUCCUCUGGCAAAGCAUUUAAACAAUGCUAAGACCUGACAAACAGAGCUAAGAUUACAUGAUAACAAAGCAGAUGUUUUCUGCUCACUGCCUCCCUGACAGAGCUCUGUACUGUCGCAUACACAGAGGCAUAUUUUUUAAAGUUAAUUAUUAUAUUCAUACAAGGAUACAUAUAUAAAGAAAGAGUUAUACAUUGCAAUGAACAUACAUAUAUCAAUAGCAUAUAGAAGAGAAAUAGAAAUAGUCAAUAGAGAGCAAUCAUUAUCGUCAUUAUAUUCAUCAUAAUACUAGGAGUAGUAGUAAUACGAUCCCUCAAAGAAGCUAAUAUGUGGGCUGUUCCAGACAAGGGUUAAUUUUCAUAAUGUCCACUUGACAAAGCUGAGAGACAAGCUGAACUGUCCUGAAAUCUGUGUUUCAUAGCCUGCUCAGGCAUUCAGGCCCGUUUUUAGAAGUGGGAUAACUAAAGGUUCAGUGUGUUGUAUUUAUUGACAUCUAGUGGUGAAGUUACAGUUUGCAACCAACUGAAUACCCCUGUCUCCCUUCAAAAGGGUUGCUUGGAAGAAAAAAAACAACAAAAAAACACGCAAGUACCCCACAGAGAUUAUGCAUUUGUUUAGUUUGUUCUGAAAUUUUUUAAGUCACAGGGAUAUUAACUGUGGUCGACACUCAAACAUAAGAGGUGACAGUAAUGCCACAGAACAAACCAAAUUUAUAAUGAUGAGCACUGAAACCAUCUACUACCAUCUUAUGAACUUUUCCUAGAUGCAGCUGAUCCCCAGUGGCCUUCAAUAGCAACAUUUGUUUUUGAACUGGAAGUUAUUUAAUUACUGUCUGCUCUAAUGUUUCCAAAUGUUUGUAUGGCAAUGGUAACAGUAAUGGCCCUAAAUCAUGUCUAAAAACAUAUUUUCUUGUAGAAGGACCCCCAAAGCCCCACCUGUGCACUUAACUCAACCAUAAAUAGAAAGAAAAUGCUCACUCAGACAGCACCUAAAUCCCCUGAAAACCCAGGAUGCCACUUGCGAUUUAACAGUAAAAUGAAGUUCUCCCAGAGUAACUGUAGAAAUAUGGUUUACUCUGCCACCUCUAGUGACAUAAAUGAAUCAUUCUAUGAAACAAAAACAUAAUUCUCAUUUUCAUAUUAUUAUACUCAUGAAAAGGUAAUUCUGAAUGUCAUAUCACAUUUCUUCAAUUUGGUCCUAAAUUGCACAAAUUGGAUCUUGAAGAUGGAGUGGCUAAAUACACAAGGAAUAUUUUUUGGCUAUACCAGUAUUUAAAACAUCUCUUCUUAGACACCGCAGAUGUUUUUAUGCAUCAAUCAGACACCACUAUGGAUACAGAAUGUUACAGAAAAUUAAAGAUUCCAUAUUCCUAAUGCACAUAAACUGAUACUUAUGUAAGACGAAUUUAAAAAACAAAAAAGUCUCUUCUCUUGGGUAAAUCUGUGCCUCUGCUCUCAGUUUGUGGUAAUCCACUUCAAUAGAUUCAGCUUAAAACCAAACUCAAAUCAACCUCUGCUGCAACCCUGUCUGGAACAACGCCCACAGGAGGAAAAAAAAAACAAAACAAUCAUAAUAAGAAAAAAAAAAAAUCACUAUAGUCACCUAGUUCAGCGAUACAAGUCAUAUAGCAAUACUUCAAUAACAAGAUGUUCUUCUAUGUAAUAGAAUACAGCAAUACAGCUUUUUCAGGUUAUAUAUAUUUAUUAAGCUUAACCGCUAAGUUAUCCAUUAUUAUUAGUAGUAUACCAUUAAUUGUAAAUAUGGAUAUGAGUGUAUAUGUAUUGGAAUGUAGACAUUCCUCCUUUAUGUCUCAGUCCACUUUAAAGGCUAGAAUUAGAUGGCAACAGAUAUCCUGCCUUCCUGUGUGUGUGUGUGUGUGUGUGUGUAUUUUUAUUUAUUUUUUUUAUUUUUUUUGCAUGUGUGUUCAUGUCACAUGUUGAUCUGUUGUUUAAUAGGCACAAUAAAUGGUGUGAAUUCCUUCCCUGUCUCAAACUAGCAGGUUUCCCAGAAUGCAAAUCUUUGAGUUUAUAAUAAGCUACUGGGAUCAUGUCAGGGUGCAUAUGAGGAACACAGUUUUCCAUUAGAAGGCUACGGCAGCAUGACAGGUGUUCAGUGAAAUAAUGAGCCCAGUUCAACUGAAGACGUGGCAACCUGCCCUUUACAGUCAAGUUAUGUUAAAUAUUCUAAUCAAUAACGAUAGAAAAAUAUAUUCUUAAUGAUCAUCAGUCUUUUCAUUAACUUUUAUCCCAGCUUUUCCCUCUUUAAAUUAAUAUUUAUCUGGACUUUUUUCCCUCCUUAAAUUAUUACAAAUCUCUCAUUUACAACUGAAAUCGUAUGCAGUUUAUUUUCACCAUGGUUCAGUCCAAUUGAGGUCAUCUUUCUUUUUUUUACUGGGCAUCUGUGGUCUGAACUGGUCUACUGUUGCAAACAGCUCUAGUCAUGACUGAGUGCUGCAGUCACUUCCCUAGAUGCCUCCUACACCAAUCUCACAUCUCUGCCAGCUGCACGUCUUGAUGUAUGUGAUGACAAAUGGACCCACAGUCACUUUGGCAACAGCGGCAACAUUACUGUGAACUGUUAGCCUUGUGUACCCGAGUCAGAGCUGAUUAGUUGUAUGCACUGAUGUACAUGGACACAAUCUGACACAAACUACAAGAUUAAUAUACGUGUGUGUGUGUGUGUGUGUGUGUGUCUGUGCUCUUUCCAAGCAACAUUUGGAAUGAUUACCUAACCAGCUAUCAAGGGGACUUAUACCAGUGAAGACGUGGGAGAAUAAAACUAUAUUACUCAAGUUUGGUUUAGGGUAUGUAAGCGUUCUUACAUUCAUUCCACAACCACAGCAAUGUUUUAAAUGACUGACCUCCUCAUUUUAAAGGCCUGUGUAGGCAUUACAUUCAUAGUAUUCUACCAAUAUGGCAGAAAAUAUAACAAGGAAGUACAACUCCCCUAAGACAAAAAUCAUUACGCUCUAAAUCAUUAAUCUCCAGAAUGUUAUUUUGACCCUCUCACUAUAAGUCCAUGAUGAAAUGUGAGUAUAAUUUGGUUGUUAUGCAGUUUAAUGAGGAUUUCCUUGUCCACCAAAAACAUCUUUUCACAACAAUUUGUAGAUUCUUUAGUCUCAUUAUCCAUCUGCAACACUGAGGGCUUGGCUUUUUUUUUUUUAGCACCCCAGAGUUAAAACAUCUACUUUUAGUUUAAGAGUGCUGUGCUUCAGCUGAGUUUCGAAUUACUGCCAAGAAUAAACAAGAACUGCGACCAGCGCACCCACCUAAGAUAUGUUUCAAUGCUGCAAACAUUAAAA